GGCACACACGGCUGUAAGUCGCAUUGGAUAAAAGCAUCUGCUAAAUGGAUUAUA
rfam:Salmo salar isolate Sally breed double haploid chromosome ssa14, whole genome shotgun sequence.